AGGAGCUUGCUCCUUUGACGUAGCGGCGGACGGGUGAGUAACACGUGGGUAACCUACCUAUAAGACUGGGACAACUUCGGGAAACCGGAGCUAAUACCGGAUAAUAUGUUGAACCGCAUGGUUCAAUAGUGAAAGAUGGUUUUGCUAUCACUUAUAGAUGGACCCGCGCCGUAUUAGCUAGUUGGUGAGGUAACGGCUCACCAAGGCAACGAUACGUAGCCGACCUGAGAGGGUGAUCGGCCACACUGGAACUGAGACACGGUCCAGACUCCUACGGGAGGCAGCAGUAGGGAAUCUUCCGCAAUGGGCGAAAGCCUGACGGAGCAACGCCGCGUGAGUGAUGAAGGUCUUACGGGUCGUAAAACUCUGUUAUUAGGGAAGAACAAACCGUGUAAGUAACUGUGCACGUCUUGACGGUACCUAAUCAGAAAGCCACGGCUAACUACGUGCCAGCAGCCGCGGUAAUACGUAGGUGGCAAGCGUUAUCCGGAAUUAUUGGGCGUAAAGCGCGCGUAGGCGGUUUUUUAAGUCUGAUGUGAAAGCCCACGGCUCAACCGUGGAGGGUCAUUGGAAACUGGAAAACUUGAGUGCAGAAGUAGGAAAGUGGAAUUCCAUGUGUACGGUGAAAUGCGCAGAGAUAUGGAGGAACACCAGUGGCGAAGGCGACUUUCUGGUCUGUAACUGACGCUGAUGUGCCGAAAAGCGUGGGGAUCAAACAGGAUUAGAUACCCUGGUAGUCCACGCCGUAAACGAUGAGUGCUAAGUGUUAGGGGGUUUCCGCCCCUUAGUGCUGCAGCUAC
rnacentral:rRNA from 1 species